AAGUGUUACAGUUCUUUUAGAAUUUGUCUAGCAGGCUUUCCGGUUCGCACCGGAAAGCCCCC
ensembl:snRNA U7 U7 small nuclear RNA